GAGCAGCCGCUGCAGCUCAGCCAUGCUGGACACGCUCACCUUCCUCCUGGAGAGGCUCUUCCUCCUCGCCCACGUCAAGCUGUCCAGCCUGCUGCCGCCUCUGCGCGGAGAGCAGCCGCUCACCAGGCGCUGUGAGCGGGACGAGUCCGCCCCGCAGCCCGCCGGAGCCCCGCAGCGGUUCCAGCGGGGAGACCUGCUGGAGGUCCCCCGGACCCUCUUCACGCACUUCGGCAUCUACCUGGGCGACAACCAGGUGGCGCACCUCAUCCCGGACAUCCUGCCGGUUCUGACCGCCGACGGCCGCCAGAUCCAGGAGAUGGUGACCAACACGCGGCUGCUGCUCGGCGUCCUGUCCAAGCGCGCCAGCAUCCGCGUGGACUCGGUGGAGGACUUCGCGUACGGAGCCGGGAUCCUGCGGAACGCCAUGGACCGGGCGGUGCGCCGCGGCGCGCUGCCCGGGGAGGAGGUGGCGCGGCGGGCGGAGCGGCUGGUGGGCUCCGUGUCCUACAGCCUGCUGUGGAACAACUGCGAGCACUUCGUCACCUACUGCCGCUACGGAACCGCGCAGAGCCUGCAGACCGACAAGUUCUGCGAGUGGCUCAAGUCUCUGAUCCGGGACCAGAGGAACGUGGUUCUGGCGGUCCUGCUCGGCCUGCUGUCCGUGGUGUGUUCAGGGAUCUCGCCCGGCACCGUUCUUCCCGCCGUCCUGGUCCCGUUCACCCUGUGGAUGGCCAGCUAAGAGCCGCCUCCUCCGCUGCUCUGGGCCGUUAGCGUUAGCAGCGCUAGCGACCAGGAGCCGUGCCGCCGGCCCUUUAAGAGGCUCGUGUAAAUAUCUGUACAUACAUCCACGACCAGAUUGUUUCCUAACAGUCUCAUGCUUUUGUACAGAAUCUAUUUUUUACAGCUCUGUAACACGUCGUGCUGUUUUUAUUGUGUAAAUAAAGAACCUGGAAUUCAAACACAAA